UCAAACAAGAAAGAGCGCAGGGUGGAUGCCUUGGCACUAAGAGCCGAUGAAGGACGUGAUAAGCUGCGAAAAGCUGCGGGGAGGAGCAAAUAUCCAUUGAUCCGCAGGUAUCCGAAUGGGGAAACCCACCUGGAUAAACUCCAGGUAUCCAUACGCCAAUCCAUAACGUAUGGAAGGGAACCCGGUGAACUGAAACAUCUAAGUAGCCGGAGGAAAAGAAAGAAAACUCGAUUCCCAGAGUAGCGGCGAGCGAAAUGGGAGGAGCCUAAACCAGCGUGCGUGCAUGCUGGGGUUAUGGACUGCAUAAGUUACCAGAAAGGAUAGUGGAAUGGUUUUGGGAAAGCCAGCCAGAGAGGGUGAAAGCCCCGUACACGAAAUCCGGACCGGGACGGCAGGAUCCAGAGUACCACGAGACACGUGGAACCUUGUGGGAAGUCGGGGGGACCACCCCCCAAGGCUAAAUACUCCUUAGUGACCGAUAGCGCAUAGUACUGUGAAGGAAAGGUGAAAAGGACCCCGGGAGGGGAGUGAAAGAGAACCUGAAACCCUGUGUUUACAAGCUGUGGGAGCACGUUAAGGUGCAACCGCGUACUUUUUGUAGAACGGUCCGGCGAGUUGCCGGUGCUGGCAAGGUUAAAUGGUACAGCCAUGGAGCCGAAGGGAAACCAAGUCUCAAAUGGGCGUAAAGUCAGCACAGGCAGACCCGAAACCGGGUGACCUAUCCAUGUCCAGGAUGAAGCGGAAGUAAAAUUCCGUGGAGGUCCGGAUCCACAUCCGUUGAAAAGGGUGGGAAUGAGGUGUGGAUAGGGGAGAAAUUCCAAUCGAACCCGGAGAUAGCUGGUUCUCCUCGAAAUAGCUUUAGGGCUAGCCUCGAUACAGAUUUGCGGAGGUAGAGCACUGAAUUUCCUAGGGGGCGUCAAAGCCUACCGAAGAAUAUCAAACUCCGAAUGCCGCGUAAUCGAUUAUCGGGAGUCAGACUGCACGAGAUAAGUUGGGCGGUCAAAAGGGAAAGAGCCCAGACCUUCAGUUAAGGUCCCAAAGUGCGCGUUAAGUGGAAAAGGAUGUGGGAUUUCGAAGACAACCAGGAUGUUGGCUCAGAAGCAGCCAUCCAUUCAAAGAGUGCGUAAUAGCUCACUGGUCGAGAGGUCCUGCGCCGAAAAUGUCCGGGGCUGAAACGCGCCACCGAAACUAAGGAACCGAAAGGUUGGUAGAGGAGCAUUGCAUGCGGAACGAAGCAGUACCGUAAGGAGCUGUGGACUGCAUGGAAGAGAGAAUGCCGGAAUGAGUAGCGAGAUAGAGGUGGGAAUCCUCUAGGCCGAAUAUCCAAGGUUUCCAGAGUAAAGCUGAUCUGCUCUGGGUAAGUCGGGGCCUAAGGCGAGGACGAGAGUCGUAGCCGAUGGACAACAGGUGGAGAUUCCUGUACUGCGGUAUGACAGAACUGUGGGGACACGUAAGGAAAGCGGAAGCCGGGAAUGGAAAGCCCGGUGCAAGCGGGGUACCAGUCACUUUGGCAAAUCCGGGUGGCAAUGGGAAGCCGUGAUGCGGAGCGAAAUAAAGUAGCGAAGUCCGUGAGCCAUGCGUCAAGAAAAGCCGCUAUUGUUUAUACCGUACCCGUACCGUAAACCGACACAGGUGGAUGAGGAGAGAAUCCUAAGGCCGGCGGAAGAAGCAUUGUCAAGGAACUCGGCAAAAUGGCCCCGUAACUUAGGGAUAAGGGGUGCCUGGGAAACCAGGCCGCAGAGAAUAGGCUCAAGCAACUGUUUAGCAAAAACACAGGUCUAUGCGAAACCGAAAGGUGAGGUAUAUGGGCUGACGCCUGCCCGGUGCUGGAAGGUUAAGAGGAGAGGUUAGCGCAAGCGAAGCUUUGAAUUUAAGCCCCAGUAAACGGCGGCCGUAACUAUAACGGUCCUAAGGUAGCGAAAUUCCUUGUCGGGUAAGUUCCGACCC
rnacentral:rRNA from 1 species